AGUGGUUUGAAGUGUUGGGUGGGCUGUUGGGGAAACACUGGAGAAACCUCGGGUUGGUCUUCAACUGCACUUUCCUCUUGUUUGGAUCCGUCAUUCAACUCAUCGCUUGUGCUAGCAAUAUAUAUUACAUAAACGACAAGCUGGACAAGAGGACAUGGACGUACAUAUUCGGAGCAUGUUGUGCGACCACUGUCUUCAUCCCAUCUUUCCACAAUUAUAGGAUUUGGUCUUUUCUUGGACUCGCCAUGACCUCUUACACUGCUUGGUAUCUCACCAUUGCUUCUCUCCUCCAUGGUCAGAUUGAGGGAGUGAGACAUUCAGGGCCGACAAAGAUGGUCCUCUA